UACGUAGGGUCCAAGCGUUGUCCGGAUUUAUUGGGCGUAAAGAGCUCGUAGGCGGUUCAGUAAGUCGGAUGUGAAAACUCGGGGCUCAACCCCGAGACGCCAUCCGAUACUGCUGUGACUUGAGUCUGGUAGGGGAGAUCGGAAUUCCUGGUGUAGCGGUGAAAUGCGCAGAUAUCAGGAGGAACACCGGUGGCGAAGGCGGAUCUCUGGGCCAGUACUGACGCUGAGGAGCGAAAGCGUGGGUAGCAAACAGG
rnacentral:misc_RNA from 1 species